CCCUUAGAUGUUCUGGGCUGCACGCGCGCUACACUGACGCACGCAACAGGUGCCUGCUCCGAGAGGACUGGGUAAUCAUUUGAGUGUGCGUCGUGAUGGGGAUAGAAUAUUGUAAUUAUUACUCUUCAACGAGGAAUUCCUAGUAAGCGCCAGUCAGCAGCUUGCGCUGAUUACGUCCCUGCCAUUUGUACACACCGCCCGUCGCUCCUACCGAUUGAAUGGUUUAGUGAGAUCUCCGGAUUGGCUCUGUAGGUCCCGCAAGGGAUUUAUUAGUAGCCAAGAAGCUGCUCAAACUUGAUCAUUUAGAGGAAGUAAAAGUCGUAACA
rnacentral:rRNA from 1 species